UACGUAGGUGGCAAGCGUUUGUUCGGAUUCAUUGGGCGUAAAGGGUGCGUAGGCGGCGCGGUAAGUCGGGUGUGAAAUCUCGGAGCUUAACUCCGAAACUGCAUUCGAUACUGCCGUGCUUGAGGACUGGAGAGGAGACUGGAAUUUACGGUGUAGCGGUGAAAUGCGUAGAUAUCGUAAGGAAGACCAGUGGCGAAGGCGGGUCUCUGGACAGUUCCUGACGCUGAGGCACGAAGGUCAGGGGAGCAAACGGG
rnacentral:rRNA from 1 species